rnacentral:ncRNA from 2 species
AAGAUGACAUCGCUGCCAGGUGCCCGCUGCGAGGCGGGAGAAUCGGGAACACGGUGAAAAUCCGUGGCGUGCCCAGCGCUGUAUGGGGGACCGCUCGGCAAAGGCCACUGUUUUUCGGAACGGGAAGGCGCCGCAAGCGGGACGAACCCAAGCCAGAAGACCGGCCGGGCAGGAAUGGUCAUC